UACGUAGGGUCCGAGCGUUGUCCGGAAUUAUUGGGCGUAAAGAGCUCGUAGGCGGUUUGUCGCGUCUGCUGUGAAAUCCCGAGGCUCAACCUCGGGUCUGCAGUGGGUACGGGCAGACUGGAGUGCGGUAGGGGAGAAUGGAAUUCCUGGUGUAGCGGUGAGAUGCGCAGAUAUCAGGAGGAACACCGAUGGCGAAGGCAGGUCUCUGGGCAUUAACUGACGCUGAGGAGCGAAAGCAUGGGGAGCGAACAGG
rnacentral:rRNA from 1 species